rnacentral:rRNA from 1 species
GACGAACGCUGGCGACGUGCCUAAUACAUGCAAGUCGAGCGCAGGAAACUGACGGAACUCUUCGGAGGGAAGGCAGUGGAAUGAGCGGCGGACGGGUGAGUAACACGUAAGGAACCUGCCUCAAGGAUUGGGAUAACUCCGAGAAAUCGGAGCUAAUACCGGAUAGUUCAACGGACCGCAUGGUCCGCUGAUGAAAGGCGCUCCGGCGUCACCUUGAGAUGGCCUUGCGGUGCAUUAGCUAGUUGGUGGGGUAAUGGCCCACCAAGGCGACGAUGCAUAGCCGACCUGAGAGGGUGAUCGGCCACACUGGGACUGAGACACGGCCCAGACUCCUACGGGAGGCAGCAGUAGGGAAUCUUCCACAAUGGACGAAAGUCUGAUGGAGCAACGCCGCGUGAGUGAUGAAGGUUUUCGGAUCGUAAAACUCUGUUGUAAGGGAAGAACACGUACGAGAGGGAAUGCUCGUACCUUGACGGUACCUUACGAGAAAGCCACGGCUAACUACGUGCCAGCCGCCGCUGUAA